rnacentral:misc_RNA from 1 species
UACGGAGGAUCCAAGCGUUAUCCGGAAUCAUUGGGUUUAAAGGGUCCGUAGGCGGGACAAUAAGUCAGUGGUGAAAGUCUGCAGCUCAACUGUAGAAUUGCCAUUGAUACUGUUAACCUUGAGUAAUUAUGAAGUGGAUAGAAUAUGUAGUGUAGCGGUGAAAUGCAUAGAUAUUACGUAGAAUACCGAUUGCGAAGGCAGAUCACUAAUAAUGUACUGACGCUGAGGGGCGAAAGCGUAGGUAGCAAACAGG